UGACACUUUGUUGCAGGAGGCAGAUACAGAGGAAUUCAUUUUUGUAACAAGCACGGAGACAAGAUGGAUGAUACUGAAAUGGGCAUGCUUUGUCCUGAGAUGUGCUCAGGCCCCCGUCAGCUGAGAGCACUGACUGAACCCGGGUCCUCCAGGGCUGAAGAUUCUACCUCAAGAUGGGUACCUUAUCUAGGAAGAGAAAGUUUUUGUAGAUCUUCUCCGGUCAGUUGUCUGAACAGGAUGACCCAACUGUGCUGGUGUCAAAACAAAGAAUACAUACGCACAUAGCACUGUGAUAAAAACUGCUCUUCUGCACAGUGUCCCAGCUUGUGAAACCUGUCUGGUUUUGCAUAAUAGAUAAGCCUCAGGAAGUAUAAAAUUAGUGGGAGUGCUUGCAGUGUGGCCAAGUUACAGUUUUACAGUCGUUUAAAGGUCAGCAGCAAAUCGACAUCUACACCCAGUCCUGCAGGAUAAGGUUUUGUAGGGACAAAGCUCUCAGGCAAAUACCUGCAUCAUUUGCCUACGGCCAUACAGAAAAUCCCAGGCUGAAGAAGGGACUGAGAUCCUACCCUGUCACAUGCAGGCCAUGGCCAGCAUUACCAAGCCAAUCUUUCUCAUCAUUUACCUAGCACAGACUUUGAAACCUAAGCCUUGAGGAGAAAUUUUUGAAGAAAAAACUCCAGGCCUGAGGUCUCAGAGGGCAGCUAUUCUUUUUCCCCAUAACUUCUGGAUUCUCUCUCUCUCUCUUUUAAAAUUUAUUUAUUACUUAACUUGAAAACGAGUUUUGUAUGAGAAGAAAGUUAAAUUGCUGAAGGAGACUAACAAGUUUAUGGAUGCUAUUAUCUCCCAAAUAGUUAAUGUCUCACUUCUCAGUUAAACAUUUAUUUUUUCAAACUUGUUUUCAGCCAUUCUAAUAGGCUUCUGGCUAGGUUAAUUAAGAGUGCAACUAAGCUGAAACCAAAUGAUCUCUGUGAUAGGAUAGGCAGCAUGCAGGCAGCAGUAACAGCAGUACAUGAAUUUCUGAAUGCUGUGAAUGCCUCUGAACUUCGCCAACAGGUAGAAGCUAGGCUGUCAUACCUGUACCUCAGCUGUCAACUGAGAAGCCUUUACUGGCACUUGCGCAGUGUGCCACUCCCAGGGAGAUUUGGGAGUUUGCUAGGCAUGUUCUGCAGUCCCUGGCACCGCUCCUACAUUCACAGAGCGUUUUACAUCUCCAGCAUAUCACCUCUACAGCUCAUCUUCAGGAGAAACAUCUGGCUUGUAACAAGAGGCAAAGAGAGAUCCUUCCCUGACACCUGGAUGCAGGCAGGGCUGAGGAUGUGGCUGUGGCCACACCUGAGGACAUCGUGCAGGGGCCCUGGCAGCAGCAGCGCCUUCAGGAGACUUCUGGCAGGGCUCUGA
rnacentral:lncRNA from 1 species